rnacentral:rRNA from 1 species
UACGUAGGGGGCAAGCGUUGUCCGGAAUCAUUGGGCGUAAAGAGCGUGUAGGCGGCCCGAUAAGUCCGCUGUGAAAGUCCAGGGCUCAGCCCUGGGAUGCCGGUGGAUACUGUCGGGCUCGAGUCCGGAAGAGGAGUGUGGAAUUCCUGGUGUAGCGGUGAAAUGCGCAGAUAUCAGGAGGAACACCAAUGGCGAAGGCAGCACUCUGGGACGUGACUGACGCUGAGACGCGAAAGCGUGGGGAGCAAACAGG